GAUGGAUACUUGUAGAGGUCGGAUACGUACGUGGCUCGAAGACCUUCGAACGAGAGAUCAUCGGUAGCGGUGAAUUUCUAUCCAUGCUAACGUAUUGAGAUUUAAUCUCAUAUUUAUUUUAUUUUCAGAUCAUAUGUAUGUUUUUAUGUUUUUCUCCUAAACUUGGGUAGGAUUAGAUGAGAUCUAUUGCAUAUGGGGUUAAAGGAUUUAACCUGAUUGAUUUUUUCGCUG
rnacentral:lncRNA from 1 species